rnacentral:rRNA from 1 species
GAGGAAACUCGGAUUAAUACCGGAUAUUCUUAUUUAAUCACAUGAUUUUUUAAGGAAAGGUCAGCCGAACUAAGAUGGGCUCGCGUUCUAUCAGCUAGUUGGUAGGGUAAUGGCCUACCAAGGCUACGACGGAUAGCUGGUCUGAGAGGACGAUCAGCCACACUGGGACUGAGACACGGCCCAGACUCCUACGGGAGGCUGCAGCAGGGAAUAUUGCGCAAUGAGCGAAAGCUUGACGCAGCGACACCGCGUGUGGGAUGACGGAUCUAGGUUUGUAAACCACUUUCAGGAGGGAAGAAAAUG